UCACCGCUUACGCGGGCAGUCUCAUUAGAGUCCCCAGCAUAACCUGAUGGCAACUAAUGAUAGGGGUUGCGCUCGUUGCGGGACUUAACCCAACACCUCACGGCACGAGCUGACGACGGCCAUGCAGCACCUAGUUUCGUGUCAUUGCUGACUGACCUGUUUCUAAAUCAUUCACUAACUUUCAAGCCCUGGUAAGGUUCCGCGCGUAUCAUCGAAUUAAACCACAUGCUCCUCCGCUUGUACGGGCCCCCGUCAAUUCCUUUGAGUUUCAGCCUUGCGGCCGUACUCCCCAGGUGGAUCACUUAAUGCUUUCGCUCGGACGCGUACGGUGUAUUGCACACAUCGAGUGCCCAUCGUUUACAGCGUGGACUAC
rnacentral:misc_RNA from 1 species